GGAAGGCUGGUGCAAACAAGGAUAUGGGCUGAGGGAAGUGCAAACUGGGAUGUCACCUUUGGACCCAAAUACAAAGUUUGCCUCACUUGCACGUCUUUGGACUGUGGGAGGAAACCCACGCAGACACGGGGAGGACAUGCAAACUCCACACAGAAAGGACUCAGACCGCUUCACCUGGGAAUCGAACCAAGGACAUUCUUGCUCUGAGGCGACAGUGCUUCCCACUGAGCCACCAUGCUGUCCACAGCAACCCAGAUAGUUUACUCAUCAUAGAGGGUCAUCUUCCAGAAAAGUGAGCCAAAAAAUCAAAGGAGGAUGGGGGAGCUGGAGAAAUAAAGAAAGAGGACAUCGGGUCUUGGAUUCUAAAGGCACCUUGGAUGUUUAUCAGCUUCAUUUGCUUUUGUCUAAGACAACUGAGAUUCUAGAAUUACACAUAAAUGCAGUAGAGUCCAAAAACGUGUAAUUAUGAGAAAUGGAUUCAUAAAAUUUACAUAAAAAUUGACAAC